GAUGAACGCUGGCGGCGUGCCUAAUACAUGCAAGUCGAGCGAACGGACGAGAAGCUUGCUUCUCUGAUGUUAGCGGCGGACGGGUGAGUAACACGUGGAUAACCUACCUAUAAGACUGGGAUAACUUCGGAAAACCGUAGCUAAUACCGGAUAAUAUUUUGAACCGCAUGGUUCAAAAGUGAAAGACGGUCUUGCUGUCACUUAUAGAUGGAUCCGCGCUGCAUUAGCUAGUUGGUAAGGUAACGGCUUACCAAGGCAACGAUGCAUAGCCGACCUGAGAGGGUGAUCGGCCACACUGGAACUGAGACACGGUCCAGACUCCUACGGGAGGCAGCAGUAGGGAAUCUUCCGCAAUGGGCGAAAGCCUGACGGAGCAACGCCGCGUGAGUGAUGAAGGUCUUCGGAUCGUAAAACUCUGUUAUUAGGGAAGAACAUAUGUGUAAGUAACUGUGCACAUCUUGACGGUACCUAAUCAGAAAGCCACGGCUAACUACGUGCCAGCAGCCGCGGUAAUACGUAGGUGGCAAGCGUUAUCCGGAAUUAUUGGGCGUAAAGCGCGCGUAGCGGUUUUUUAGUCUGAUGUGAAAGCCCACGGCUCAACCGUGGAGGGUCAUUGGAAACUGGAAAACUUGAGUGCAGAAGAGGAAAGUGGAAUUCCAUGUGUAGCGGUGAAAUGCGCAGAGAUAUGGAGGAACACCAGUGGCGAAGGCGACUUUCUGGUCUGUAACUGACGCUGAUGUGCGAAAGCGUGGGGAUCAAACAGGAUUAGAUACCCUGGUAGUCCACGCCGUAAACGAUGAGUGCUAAGUGUUAGGGGGUUUCCGCCCCUUAGUGCUGCAGCUAACGCAUUAAGCACUCCGCCUGGGGAGUACGACCGCAAGGUUGAAACUCAAAGGAAUUGACGGGGACCCGCACAAGCGGUGGAGCAUGUGGUUUAAUUCGAAGCAACGCGAAGAACCUUACCAAAUCUUGACAUCCUUUGACAACUCUAGAGAUAGAGCCUUCCCCUUCGGGGGACAAAGUGACAGGUGGUGCAUGGUUGUCGUCAGCUCGUGUCGUGAGAUGUUGGGUUAAGUCCCGCAACGAGCGCAACCCUUAAGCUUAGUUGCCAUCAUUAAGUUGGGCACUCUAAGUUGACUGCCGGUGACAAACCGGAGGAAGGUGGGGAUGACGUCAAAUCAUCAUGCCCCUUAUGAUUUGGGCUACACACGUGCUACAAUGGACAAUACAAAGGGCAGCGAAACCGCGAGGUCAAGCAAAUCCCAUAAAGUUGUUCUCAGUUCGGAUUGUAGUCUGCAACUCGACUACAUGAAGCUGGAAUCGCUAGUAAUCGUAGAUCAGCAUGCUACGGUGAAUACGUUCCCGGGUCU
rnacentral:rRNA from 1 species